rnacentral:rRNA from 1 species
GACGAACGCUGGCGGCGUGCCUAAUACAUGCAAGUUGAGCGCUGAAGGUUGGUACUUGUACCAACUGGAUGAGCAGCGAACGGGUGAGUAACGCGUGGGGAAUCUGCCUUUGAGCGGGGGACAACAUUUGGAAACGAAUGCUAAUACCGCAUAAAAACUUUAAACACAAGUUUUAAGUUUGAAAGAUGCAAUUGCAUCACUCAAAGAUGAUCCCGCGUUGUAUUAGCUAGUUGGUGAGGUAAAGGCUCACCAAGGCGAUGAUACAUAGCCGACCUGAGAGGGUGAUCGGCCACAUUGGGACUGAGACACGGCCCAAACUCCUACGGGAGGCAGCAGGAGGGAAUCUUCGGCAAUGGACGAAAGUCUGACCGAGCAACGCCGCGUGAGUGAAGAAGGGUGUCGGAUCGUAAAAGUCUGUUGGUAGGGAAGAAAGUUGGUGAGAGUGGAAAGCUCAUCAAGUGACGGUAACUACCCAGAAAGGGACGGCUAACUACGUG